rnacentral:misc_RNA from 1 species
CGACUCGUAUCAUUCCCGCGGUGCGUAUUCGAGUAAAAAUUUUCACGAUCCGUCGGUUUAUUUCGAAACGAAUGACUGAUGACUCGAAGAAUCUAGGGAUAUUAUGGAAACGAACGGAGAAAAUGGCUGUACUCAUUUUACCGUGAGGAUAGUUACCUCGAUAUUUCAAAUAACAUUUCUACAUCGCACGCACGCCGCAUUAUUAGAAAGCCUUCUCCUGCGAGGACGAGUUCUGGGUGUACAACUGAAUCGAAAUAAAGAAAAAAAAAAAAACAAACAAA